rnacentral:pre_miRNA from 1 species
AGCAUACUCCCUCCGUCCGAAAAUACUUGUCAUCAAAAUGGACAAAAAGGGAUGUAUCUAGAACUAAAAUAUAUCUAGAUACAUCUCCUUUUAUUCAUUUUGAUGACAAGUAUUUCUGGACGGAGGGAGUAGCAC